AUGCAGUCGAACGGCAGCGCGGGGCAACCUGGCGGCGAGUGGCGAACGGGUGAGUAAUAUAUCGGAACGUGCCCUGGAGUGGGGGAUAACGCAGCGAAAGUUGCGCUAAUACCGCAUACGAUCUAAGGAUGAAAGCGGGGGAUUCGCAAGAACCUCGUGCUCCUGGAGCGGCCGAUAUCUGAUUAGCUAGUUGGUGGGGUAAAGGCCUACCAAGGCAUCGAUCAGUAGCUGGUCUGAGAGGACGACCAGCCACACUGGAACUGAGACACGGUCCAGACUCCUACGGGAGGCAGCAGUGGGGAAUUUUGGACAAUGGGCGAAAGCCUGAUCCAGCAAUGCCGCGUGAGUGAAGAAGGCCUUCGGGUUGUAAAGCUCUUUUGUCAGGGAAGAAACGGUGCGGGCUAAUAUCCUGCACUAAUGACGGUACCUGAAGAAUAAGCACCGGCUAACUACGUGCCAGCAGCCGCGGUAAUACGUAGGGUGCAAGCGUUAAUCGGAAUUACUGGGCGUAAAGCGUGCGCAGGCGGUUUUGUAAGUCUGUCGUGAAAUCCCCGGGCUCAACCUGGGAAUUGCGAUGGAGACUGCAAGGCUAGAAUCUGGCAGAGGGGGGUAGAAUUCCACGUGUAGCAGUGAAAUGCGUAGAGAUGUGGAGGAACACCGAUGGCGAAGGCAGCCCCCUGGGUCAAGAUUGACGCUCAUGCACGAAAGC
rnacentral:rRNA from 1 species